rnacentral:rRNA from 1 species
CUUCUCUGCGCCGCAACUCGAGCCCAUCCGCCAGCAACAGCCGACGUCCGUGCACAAGGCGUCCCGGGUUUUCCCGUUGCACAGCGUGGAGCAUGUGCUGACAUACUCGCGACCCCCAUCGCUGACUACGAUGAAGUAGCCGAUGAAGUUCCAUCCGAUGGCCACAAAGACGUUGUGCUCGGUGGACACCGCGAGCUGCGCGCCGUUCCGGCAGGCCGCCGUACCAUGAGUAGUUGUAGUCGAUGAAUCUCCUCGCGCCGACGACACUGUUUGUGGAAAGUGGUCGGAAUGCGACAACCUUGGUCUGGACAUGCACCGUGCCGUCCGCCAGGGAGAUUGGCGUCCACCUCCACGCCGUCGCCCAGGAGCAGCUUCGAGGGACGGCGCGUCUCGUCGCAGGUGAGGUUGAAGCCCUUGCGAAAGCAGCCUUGCCGGAAGCCGAAAGGGUAGGGGACGGAGACGUUGCCGCAGGCCUCCGGGCAGCCAGACAAGGCUACUGGGCCAUCGGCGACGGCUGUUGCCACGAGGAGGAGCUCAAGUGCCAACACCGUUGCGACGACGAGCUUUGCUUGUGACAUGCAGCGAGAUACAGGCUUGCCGGAAGCUGCAUGAGCAUGCAACAUGCUGCUGGGCAAGCUUGGCUUGGGUGCUAGCUAGAGGAAAUGGUGAUACUCGUAUUGCUAGUAGUCGACCUCCUCUGCAAUUUGUAGAGAAAAGCUUUUGUGUUCGGUCUUCUCAGUUGGCUUCAACGCCGACCAGGUACAGUAGUGCACGAAUAUAGACUAAUCAAUCUAAGCAUGUUGCAUGUCAAGUACUAGUAGCUGAGUUAGUACUUGGUACCGUCCUCAUCCUACAGUAUUUCGCUAAACUGGAGCUCAAACACAAACAUGCCUCUUUGGUGCUGCAAGUGCAAGGAAAAGUCCAUGACGUACUAGAAAGGAAGCGGAAAUGGGUGUGGCAUACAAUCGGUGAUGUGACAGUCUUGUGUCUUAUGUGGAAAACUCAAACUCGUGUCAAACUUGGCUACUGUUGGUCAGGUCAGUGGUCACACCGUGCCAUGAACACACUCUAUCCACCCAACCCGGAUGGGGAUGGCAGGUUGAAGCCCUCUCGGAAGCAUCCUCCACGAAGAUCUCCAGGCAACCAGAACCAUGCAAUGGCAAUUUUAGCGAGGACGACCGGGAGAAAAAGAAGAAGAUUACCUCGCUGCAGCUCGGCUCCCACCUCAGGCGCCAUCGACCCCACGCUCGGCCGGAACGCACUUGACUUGAGCAUUUCAUCCAACACGUCGCCUGCACGGUCGGGAACUCAAAAUCGAACCAACGAACUAUCUAUUCACAGGAAAUUAUUGACUCUUUGACGAGUUUCUCACUGUUGAUUCCGAUCCCCAUCGACUUCAAUCAACAGCGAGCAACAAGCCACCGAUCACCUCGGGAAGAAAUUACAAGCGGUGGACUGCCCUG